CUGACACGGAAUACAGACUGAGAGAGCAGCUCAUGAAAAAAAACACACCCGAUGUCACGCUGACUAGUGUUUGAUCUAGUCAGGUUUAAUUCUGUCCUUCCUAGGGGAAAAAAAACCCAUUGUCGUUUUGAAAUUUAGCACAGUUUUAAGGUGCAUCAAGUUAGCUUUAGAUGACGAGAAGUGGAUGAAAUGCCUCCUGGGCCAUGGGCGUCUCUCUGUUGGAUUUUACUCUCUGUCUGCCUCCUGUUUGCCUCUACAGGUGAGACUGAUCUUGCUUUAAGUUCAACAGGAUUCACAACACAACCCUAGGAGCAUCAGUUUUCUGUCUGAUGCUUCCUGCUACUCCUGUUUCAUUCAUACUGUUUUAUUUAAAUCAUUUUCUAACUCCGUGACUCUGUAGAGAUUGAGGCUACGUCCACACGUACCCGGGUAUUUUUGAAAACGCAGAUAUUUCUAUGCGUUUGCACCUUUCCUCCUCUGUGAGAUGUUCUCAAUCAUUGCCAGGUCUUUAUCACUUGAGUUCUGUCUUGCUGGGGUCGCAGACUUCUGCAAAAAGUCUCAUCGAGCUCUGGGUUGGUUUAGGUGGAUUUGGAGGUAUACUGCAACUGAUGCUGUAGAUGCAGUGGCAGCAACAGUUGCAGUAGACACACUGGCACCUUCAUUAAUAUCACACUCAACUGACUGUUUUAUAUUCCUAUUGCACUGAUGGGUGGACAGUUCUCAGGUGCCUGUGCAGGUUGUUUGUGGAGCCGGCUCUGUAUGAUAUCUUUUUCUUACAGACUUUACACUCUGUCUUUGUUUUCAGUAAAAUUGAAAUUGCUCCAGAUUUUGCUUCUUUUCUUGGUGUCACUCAUUUUUAUUACCAUGCCUUUCUAAUGUGUUGAUGUUGUGUCUUGUUGCCCCUGGCUCUCUUUCUCUCUUUCACACUCUGUUCCUAUGCUACUGCGAGUGUAACCACCACCCCUCCCCCCUCUGCUCAGCGCAAACACAAGGCUCAAGUGCGGUGUGAAGUGAAAAUAGUGAGACAGAGCGGGUGAGAGAAAGGGGAAAAGAAACACAGCUCGUUAUUCGUUACUUCGUGUGGUGGCUAUUGCGGAGCUUCCACAGAUUCAGUAACAUUAGCAAGUGGUGGAGGCCAGCAGGUGGAUGAGGGAAAUGGUGAGGCGGCCUGAGGCGGCCGCUGUCCAAGUGUCAGGUGAACUGAAUUCCAGGUAAGAAGUUAUGACCUGCAGUCUAUCUGGGUCAGUUCAGGUAUAGUUUAUUUUAGUUAUGCUGACUUUUUUGUAGCAUAACUAUGAAAAAGUCAGUACUAUUUGUUUUGUGGAAAUAUGGACUUUAUUUUUUUCCUUUCUAUUGGUAGGUGGCACAGUGCACUUGAGGCAAGUAAGCAAGCUAGAAGACUGGCACUCUUGCUGGAUAUCCAGUUACGGAAGCAACACAUUAACAAGAGAAUUCUGAGUAAAACCAAAGUUACCUUCCUGAGUAACUAGUUACUCUGAAAGUAAUGACUAACUUGAAGUAACUGAGUUACUUUUGAUAGAAGUAACUAGUAAUGUAACUAAGUUACUAAUUUAAAGUAACUUACCCAACACUGCUCACUUCAAAGAUACGGCUCUAAGAGCAUUUUCGUUCACAACUGACACAUCACUACAUGGGGCACACUCACCCUUGACCCACCUGCUUUCCAAGGUAGGUGAUGGUUGCAUGGUGCAUGUGGCACACAACCGACUGUAAGCAACAACAUGUUUUUUUUUUAAAACCAGGCCAAAAGAAGUUGCUCAGCACUCAGUAAUACUUUUUAUUUAUUCCGAGAUGCCAUGCCCAUAUCAUGUGCUAAGCUUAGCACCUGAUUACAAUGAUGGGAUUGUACCACCACCUGCAUGACGUUCAAUGUUCCACUAAUCUGAGGACCACCACCUCGUGAGCAGGCCAUCCUGCAGUAAAAAACGGGGAAUGGUUGCGCUUUGCCCAGAAGCGAAAGUGGCGGCAAAACAGGAACUCAAAGACUUGCCAUUUCUCUGAGUGCUUACCAAAGCUUCUUUACUCACAUCUCCAAUUCCAGCAUUAAUUUUACCACACUUCGUUCCAUUUUCAUACUGUCUCUCUCUUACAAAAGGCUUUUGCCCUGUAGCCACAAACGUAUCCGCGAUACUAAAAUCAGCAAAUUUGCACUCUUGCGCCCAUGUGACAGUUUGACAGCUUAGAGCUCCACAUUAUUGGUGGGAUAAGUUUAUCAGGAUGGCUUCAAAAUCUGCAACCACAAGUGUUUAGAUUUCCAUCGGAUCUCAAGAGGAACAAACGAAUAACUCAGACUUACAAAUGGACUGCAAGUCAGAAAACUAGGGAAUGUGACGACCUCCCUGACUAAGGCCCAUAAACGUCGUGUUCACAUCAUACACACACUUAUAUUUCUACUCUCCCUGGAUGUUUUCCACUCUGUGCUGCUAUUGUAAGUCUUCUUGGUCCUUGUGGGGUGAUCGUGGCUCAAGAGUUGGGAGUUCACCUUGUAAUCAGAGGGUUGCCGGUUCGAGCCUCGGCUUGGACAGUCUUGGUCGUUGUGUCCUUGGGCACUUCACCCGUUGCCUACUGGUGGUGGUCAGAGGGCCCGGUGGCACCAGUGUCUGGCAACUUCGCCUCUGUCAGUGCGCCCCAGGGUGGCUGUGGCUACAAUGUAGCUUGCCAGUAAAGUAAUAGUAGUAGUAGUAAAGCACUAUACAAAUACAGACUAUUUACCAGACCAUUUGUACUCAAUGCAUUUGGUUCAGACGUUAAUAAUAUUAACUCAUACAUCCAGGUAAAGCUAUUGAUAGUGAUGUGACGUUCUGUAUCGAGGCUUCGGAGCGUGUGUCGAGUAAUGGAGGGGGCGUUUCCGCGAUGCGCGUAUCGAGGCUUGCUUCAUUUAUGGGAGGAGCUGAAAAUGAUGACGUCCGAAGCCUCGCUGCCCGGCUGUACCACGUGACUGGUUCAUGAAGUGGUUCGAACUUUGCCGCGAGCUAUGACAGCGAUAUAAACCCCUCAGAUUUCAUUCAAAAUGUGGGUGUUUGAUGGAGAGUUGCGGUUAGUGAGAGUUUGGAGACCGUUUGGAGGUUUAUGAGAGUGAGGAGAGAAAGUCAGGAGAGAAUGGAGCCAGCUAAGAAGAGGAGGAUGUCCUCUCCUGUGUGGGAACAUUUUGAUCUUAUUCCUCCCAACAAGGUGAAGUGUUUGCUAUGUGCCAGGGAGCUGGGAUAUAACAACAACACCUCAUCCAUGCUUACGCACUACAGAGCUUUGCAUGAGAAUAAGGGGAACACCGAUUGUGGAGCAAGACCAGGAGAACAAUCUCAAAUAGAUGAAGACCUGGUCAGCAUGGUGAUUGAGGACUCCCAGCCAUUUAGCAUUGUGGAGGACAAAGGAUUCAAAAGAUUUGUUAAAUCAUUAAAUCCUAGCUAUGUUCUCCCCACUAAAAAGGUCAUAAAAGCAGUGAAAAUUUAGUUUUUACAGAAUAAAAUGUGAACAGGCAGGACUGAGGCUCAAAGCCUCAGUGUGUAGCUGUCCAUACCUCAACGUUACAAAAGCACAACCACUGUCCACACCUCACCUCACAGUAAAUGAUCAUUUCCAUUUUAAGCAUUUCCAAAUAAUCAUUUUCCAUACUGCCAGUAUAAAUAUACACACUAUACUGCCAUCAAUACAAUAUAGAUGUUUUACACACUCCUUUUGUUGUUGAUAUUUACAGGCUGUGUGCAAAAUGCCACACUCUUCAAAUUCAUGCCAACUAAUAUUUUUACGUCCAGUAGGUGUCCUCCUAGAGCAAAUGAAGCUUCAAGAAGCUUUGCGCUGGGGUGAACCAAUUGGAUGAAAAGCUUCAGUGCUUCAUGAAGCUUCAUCUGCCCAUCACUAGCUAUUGAUCCAAGAUUGUUAGGUGUGGCUGUGUGCAGGCAGGAAUAGGACCCAAGGUGCAGACUCCGGAGACAGAACUUAAACCAAAACAGCUUUAAUGCUGAACGCAAACAUAACAUAACUGGAAAAACUCAAAAAAAACAAACUAACACCAGCAGAUUGACAAAACACACAGCAACGUAAACGGUAGAUCGCGACACAGACACCAAGAAACACAGGGCUUAAAUACACAGAGGGAGCAAUCAGGGAAUGGGUAACAGGAGGGAAACACAGCUGGGGCAAAUCAGGCCUAACGAGACAAGGGGAAGCAAAACCAGACACAUUAACAUCAGACAUGGACUUUCAAAGUAAAACAGGAAACAUAACACAGACUCACGGGCAGGCACUAUAACAAAGGGAACAGAGACGUGGGAACAGGGCAGACACAAACAUUGACUGAACACGGGGAUAUAGGAACUUAGGAUACACAUAGACGCGAACUAGACAAGGGGAUGCAGGUGAUAGGGGAGACAGAGCAACUAAAGAAGACAGAGACCUAAGCCAUAAGACAGAACUCAAAGAAACCAAAAACUAGAAAGUAUAAAUAAUAUCAUAAACUCAAAAACGCUGGGUCGACGACCCAGGCAUCCCAACAAAGAUUGAGUAAGGAAUAACACACACUAGAUCUGUCUUAUUUAGAAUAUGAAAAUAUGAAACGUAUUUCAAGUUUUUGACAAAUAUACGCAUCCAUUGAUCAGUGAAGUGUCCAUAUUUGCUAUUACUAACACACAGUUAUCCUAUAGAGUUUGAGUCAGUCCAAACUUAAAGUAAUUAUUUUUGUGGUCAAUUGCAAGAAAACUGUAACUUUUGUUAGAGCUACUUCCAUUAGCUUUAAUAGCUUUAAUAAAUGGGAUUUCCAUCCCGAAAUGCAUGCCAAAUAAUUUACAUUUCAAUUCAAAAAGAUGAAAUUAGGUUUCUUUAGUUCAGCACAUCUAUCUCUCUGUUUGCUCCUCACUGUGUACAAACACUUUUCUCCUUUUUCAGAUGGGAAAAUCAUCAAAGCUGAGCCUGGACAGAACGUCACUCUGCCAUGUCGAACUCCACAUAUCAGCGUUCCCAUCAGAGCUGUGGUGGAGUGGUUCAGACUUGACCUGCAGGAAGGACAUGUCCUUAUGUACCGGGAUGAGCAGUUUAUUUCAAUGAACCAGCUUCCAUCGUUUGUGAACCGGGUGGAUCUGCAGGACAGACAGAUGAAGGACGGAGACGUGUCUUUGAUUCUGAAGGACGUGACAAGUGACGACACUGGAACAUUUCAGUGUUACGUGGUCCAGAGAGGAACAAAUGGCAGGAAAAGCACUGUUGAUCAUAUCAGCACCGUCUACCUGAGAGUUGUAGGGAGCAGCGAUGGACAUCCAACAAUGAAAUGUAGACGUUUAACACAAAUACAAUUGAAUUUUUUAGCGUUUUUCUCUUCUUUACUUAGAAGUAUUGUUAAGGAGAUUUAAAAACAAAGUUAAUUUUCAUUGUCUUCUUCAUUAUUACGUUGCUGUUAAAAGGUAAUAAUGCCAAUGAAGUCCGUAUAGUGCAGCCAGUCCCUUAAACACUGCUGCAAUCCACUUUCACCAAAAUAAGUUUUCUCCUAAGUUUUUUUUUUUCUUUUAUCACUUUUGAUCUUUGAUUAUUUGCUUGCUGAGGUUAAUUCGUGAUUAACAGCUUUGAUUCUGCUGUUUGGAAACGUGUGCUCCAGUUUAGUUUAUUUCCAGCAGUAAUAAAUUUGUUAAAUGUUGGGUCUGUGUUUCCACAUGCCCCGCUAGUUUAGAGACUUAUUCCUCAUGACAAACACAAGACAUAGCAGAACAUCUUCAACCGGUUAUUAACUCGCUAACGAAGGAGAGCUUUGGUCUGAACCAGGCGGUGGAGCAUAAUGCUCAUCACUCUCUAGCCCAAAUCCUUCAAAGAGCAGCUGUCCUCGUAGCCUUUUUAUUGACAUGACAUUUACAGUACACAUGACAACACAACACAAGCACCUCCCAUCGUAAACCCCCCCCCCCCCCCCCCCCUUGGUCCUAAGACAAGGCAUUAUAUGUGUGUGUGUGACAAAUAACUUUGUUGUUUGCAAAACUUGUGCAUAGGAUUUUAAAAUUGACAAUUUAUACUUGUAUUUAAAGUUAUGAAAUAUGAUUCAUUAAACAUGUUUGUGGUUGUUACAGUAAAAAAUAUAACUUUUUUCUACUCUGAUUUUAUGUUUUUUUCUGAUUUUAGAUCUAUUGUGUUAAUACAAUAAAUGUACAAAUGAAAACAAGGCAAAGUAAAUAGUUUUUAAAGGUAAAAUGUGGAGGGACAAUCAAAAGUAGUUAAAAAUGGCCAAUUAUACCCUGGACCCCAGAGGGUUAAACAUUUUUUUCAAAGUAACUCAAUAGUUACUUUUCAAGUAAUUAAUUAAUUUUAGAAUAUUGUAACUCAGUUACUAACUCAGUUACUUUUUGAAGAAGUAACUAGUAACUAUAAUUAAUUACUUUUUCAAAGUAACUUGCCCAACACUGCCCACAUCUAAAAACUCUCUCUCUCUCUCUCUCCCUAACUUGCUCACUCUGUCUCCUGCCCUGCCUUCCCCUCUUCCUAAACAACCCUGGUGGUGACUUUUCUUUUUAAUUGGUGGACAUGAGACAUUUUUUGACAGAACGGGAAAGAGGUGACUUUUUUUCUUUCUUUUAGUGUUUUCGCGCUGUCCUUAGAAUACGCUUAAAAAACACACACACAAAAACAAAACAAAACGUGACAACAGUUUUUGGCAUGGCAUGGCAUGGCUUAUAUAAAUUAUAACAACUGUGGAUUUACUGGCUGGUAAUUAAAAUUUAAAA
ensembl:lncRNA